rnacentral:lncRNA from 13 species
CUAGAUCAUCUUCUGAUUUGCUGAGUCGUGUUCUAAUUCACUAGAUCAUCUUCUGAUUUGCUGAGUCGUGUUCUAAUUCACUAGAUCAUCUUCUGAUUUGCUGAGUCGUGUUCUAUUGAGGCUCGCGGUCAGAAUGUCUCCUUCUAGAGAGAAUAGAGAGAUUCUAUGGUACUCAGAUAUCCUUUUACAGGUGGUGUCCCUCUCUAAACCUAUGGAACAGGUGGUACCAGCCCCGUCAUUGGCUACCAGCUUCCCCUGUAAGCAGUGUGGAAAGAUGUUCUAUAAGAUAAAGAGUCGUAACGCCCAUAUGAAGAUCCAUAGGCAGCAGCAGGACGACUGGAGACACCCCCCAGGCCUCGUCAUCAACCUAGCCCAGAACGUCACCCCCAACCUGGGAACCAAUCUACCCCAGCUCCAGGCUUCAGGUCGGGCCUACCUCCCAGGCCCCAUCAACAACAGCAACCAACACACUGGUGGUGCUCACACCAUCAUCAUCAACAACAACACCAACAGCAACAUCAGUGAUCCAAACAUUCCAAACAUUCCAAACACCAAUACCAUGACCAAUAGCAACAGUGUCAGUGUCAUCGACUCCACCCCUAAUCAGAGAGGACACGCCCCCCUCCUCUCUGUCCAGCAAUCGUGGGACUUGUUUCAGUUAAACUCUAAUCCUGCUGCAGGGUUCUACUAUGACCCGGAAGUGAAAGGAGCCCUGGGGGUCACGGUGGGAGGGGUGAAAGGUCAAGUCCUCUGGCAGUAGAGUUCUGGAAUCAGAAUGAAUAGAACUGACAUGUAUAGGACUACAUUCACAUUUUGCACCAUGAAAAGCAUUUAAAAUAUAUAAAUAUAGUGAGAAAUCUGUAAAUUAUGUUUAAUACCUACUUAAAUGUUUUGCAUUUCAAUUUUUAUUAAAAUAGAUUUUUGUAUCUCUCUUGAUCCACCUUUUACUUUCCCACUCAAAAACAGACAUCCACCAACCAACCAACCAACCCGUUCUCCAUCCUCUGCCUAAAUGGGAACAUAUAGACAUACAGUACCAGUCGAUAGUUUGGACACACCUACUCAUUCAAGGGUUUCUGUUUAUUUUUGUAAACUAUUUUCUUCAUUGUAGAAUAAUAGUGAAGACAUCAAAACUAUGAAAUAACACAUAUGGAAUCAUGUAGUAACCAACAAAAACUUUGCCUUGAUGACAGCUUUGCACACACUUGUCAUUCUCUCAACCAGCUUCAUGAGGUAGUCACCUGGAAUGCAUUUCAAAGAACAGGUGUGACUUGUCAAAAGUAAAUGUGUGGAAUUUCUUUCCUUCUUAAUGUGUUUGAGCUAAUCAGUUGUGUUGUGACAAGGUAGGGGUGGUAUACAGAAGAUAGCCCUAUUUGGUAAAAUACCAAGUCCAUAUUAUUGCAAGAACAGCUCAAAUAAGCAAAGAGAAACAACUGUCCAUCAUUACUGUAAGACAUGAAGGUCAGUCAAUUCUGAGAAUUUAAAGAUCUUAGAAAGUUUCUUCAAGUGCGGUCGCAAAAACCAUCAAGCGUUAUGAUGAAACUGUCUCUCAUGAGGACCGCCACAGGAAAGGAAGACCCAGAGUUACCUCUGCAGCAGAGGAUAAGUUCAUUAGAGUUACCAGCCUCAGAAAUUGCAGCCAAAAUAAAUGCUUCACAGAGUUCAAGUAACAGACACAUCUCAACAUCAUCUGUUCAGAGGAGACUGUGUGAAUCAGGCCUUCAUGGUUGAAUUGCUGCAAAGAAACCACCACUAAAGGACACCAAUAAUAAGAAGAGACUUGUUUGGACCAAGAAACACGAGCAAUGGACAUUAGACCGGUGGAAAUCUGUCCUUUGGUCUGAUGAGUCCAUAUGUUUUUGGUUCCAGGCGCCGUGUCUUUGUGAGACGUGGUGUGGGUGAACGGAUGAUCUCUACAUGUGUAUUUCCCACCGUGAAGCAUGGAGGAGGAGGUGUGAUGGUGCUUUGCUGGUGACACUGUCUGUGAUUUAUUUAGAAUUCAAGGCAAACUUCACCAGCAUGGCUACCACAGCAUUCUGCAGCGAUAUGCCAUCCCAUCUGGUUUGGGGUUAGUGGGAAUAUAAUUUGUUUUUCAACAGAGAGGACAAUGACCCAACACACCUCCAGGCUGUGUAAGGGCUUUAUGACCAAGAAUGAGAGUGAUGGAGUGCUGCAUCAGAUGUCCUGGCCUCCACAAUCCCCUGACCUCCACAAUCCCCUGACCUCAACCCAAUUGAGAUGGUUUGGGAUGAGUUGGACCGCAGACGGAAGGAAAAGCAGUCAACGAGUGCUCAGCAUGUGUGGGAACUCCUUCAAGACUGUUGGAAAAGCAUUCCAGGUGAAGCUGGUUGAGAGAAUGCCAGGAGUGUGCAAAGCUGUCAUGAAGGCAAAGAGUGGCUAUUUGAAGAAUCUCAAGUAUAACGUAUAUUUUUAAAUGUAACACUUUUUUUUGGUUACUACAUGAUUCCAUAUGUGCUGUUUCAUAGUUGUCAUGUCUUCACUAUUAUUCUAUAAUGGAGAAAGAUAAAUAAAAACCUUUGAAUGAGUAGGUGUGUUCAACCAUUUGACUGGUACUGUGUAUGGUCUGAGCGCACUCUACAGCAGUGUUCUCUUAAUAAAGUUGUUGGUAACGGGCUAGUAAAUGUCAACCUGAGAGAUGUAUGGGAGGAGAGAGAGACAGAUGUUGCUGUGUCAAACAGAGAGAUGUAUGGGAGGAGAGAGAGACCAGGCCAGAUGUUACUGUGUCAAACAGAGAGAUGUAUGGGAGGAGAGAGAGACAGAUGUUGCUGUGUCAAACUGAGAGAUGUAUGGGAGGAGAGAGAGACCAGGCCAGAUGUUACUGUGUCAAACAGAGAGAUGUAUGGGAGGAGAGAGAGAUGUUGCUGUGUCAAACAGAGAGAUGUAUGG